UUCUAACCGUAAACGAUGACAACCAGCGAUUAGUCGGUGUUAAUAUACGACCCGACUAGCAGCUUCCGGGAAACCAAAGUUUUUCGUUUCCGGGGGAAGUAUGGUUGCAAAGCUGAAACUUAAAGGAAUUGACGGAAGGGCACCACCAGGAGUGGAGCCUGCGGCUUAAUUUGACUCAACACGGGAAAACUCACCCGGCCCGGACACCGUAAGGAUUGACAGACUGAGAGCUCUUUCUUAAUUCGGUGGGUGGUGGUGCAUGGCCGUUCUUAGUUGGUGGAGCGAUUUGUCUGGUUAAUUCCGAUAACGAACGAGACUCUGGCCUAUUAAAUAGUCGGUAUAUCCGGAAAAGUUUACCGUACUUCUUAGAGGGACAAACGGCGUCUAGCCGCGUGAAAUAGAGCAAUAACAGGUCUGUGAUGCCCUUAGAUGUCCGGGGCUGCACGCGCGCUACACUGAAAGAAUCAGUAUGCGCUUUAACCUAGUCCGGAAGGAUUGGGUAACCCGAGCAAAUUCUUUCGUGCUUGGGAUAGGGAAUUGCAAUUAUUUCCCUUAAACGAGGAAUUCCCAGUAAAUGCGGGUCAUAAGCUCGCGUUG
rnacentral:rRNA from 1 species